UACGUAGGGUGCGAGCGUUGUCCGGAAUUACUGGGCGUAAAGAGCUCGUAGGUGGUUUGUCGCGUUGUUCGUGAAACCGGAGGCUCAACCUCUGGCGUGCGGGCGAUACGGGCAGACUUGAGUACUGCAGGGGAGACUGGAAUUCCUGGUGUAGCGGUGGAAUGCGCAGAUAUCAGGAGGAACACCGGUGGCGAAGGCGGGUCUCUGGGCAGUAACUGACGCUGAGGAGCGAAAGCGUGGGGAGCGAACAGG
rnacentral:rRNA from 1 species